AUUGAACGCUAGCGGGAUGCUUUACACAUGCAAUUCGAACGAGUGGCGGACGGGUGAGUAAUAUAUCGGCACGUGCCCAGUGGCGGGGGAUAACUACUGGAAAGAGUGGCUAAUUCCGCAUACUAUUGGCUCGGCCGAUAUCGGAGUAGCUAGUUGGGGGGGUAAAGGCUCACCAAGGCAACGAUCCGGAGCUGGUUUGAGAGGACGACCAGCCACACUGGAACUGAGACACGGCCCAGACUCCUACGGGAGGCAGCAGUGGGGAAUUUUGGACAAUGGGCGAAAGCCUGAUCCAGCCAUCCCGCGUGUAUGAGAAGGCCUUCGGGUUGUAAAGUACUUUUAGCAGAGAAGCGGUAUCUGCAGAAUAAGCACCGGCUAACUACGUGCCAGCAGCCGCGGUAAUAC
rnacentral:rRNA from 1 species